rnacentral:lncRNA from 1 species
GUUUUAUUUUCUCAGCAGACGGCGCCGACACUCCUGAUGUUAACGGUAAAAGUGGGAAAAUUUUACCUAUUGGUGAAUAUGUGUAAUACUUUCAAAGUAAUUACAUUACUUCCUGAUCUUAUUGAUGUGAUUACUGACAUUACAUUCCCUUUUCAGUUAAUUAUAUGAGCAAAUAUUAGUCCAAAUUAAAACAGUGAGUUGAAUAUCCACUGCACUGUUUAAUGUUUGAUUGGACAGUAGUUGUUAAUGUAUUUAUUUACUCUUAAGUAUUGUGUUUUUGUUUUGUUUUAAAUAUUUCAUGAUAUUUUGCUGCUAAAAAGAAGAGACAUUCCAGUUCAGUGGACAAUAAUGUUUCAUUUAAUCUGAUGAGAAACUGAUUAAAUGUUGAGUCAGACUGUGGUGAAGUCAGUGAUUGGCUGUGACUCACUAACAGUUUGUGUCUGACAGGAAAUGGUCGACAGACACUGCUGACAGACACAAAUACAGCGACUGAUCAAUUUGUUUCCUUCACUGAUCUUCAGACUGAGGUCACAGGUGGGGCAGACUCAGUGACCGGUCUUCAUGUUGACCUCACAGGUGAGACAGAUGGACUGAUGGAUCAAUACAGCAAUAGACUGAUCAAGAGUAUUGAUCACUGAUAGAAACCUAAAUCUGUGUUCUGAUUGGUUCCAGCGUCAGGUCUUGGACUCACCCAUGAUGUCACAGGUAAUACUUGUAACCACGACAAACACAUUUCCACCACAGCAGGAGUUGGUUUAAACUCACUUCCUGUCAUAUGAUCAUGUUACAGAAUCAACACCUGUCAUGCUUCACACAGGUACACCUGUCUGUCUGUUUCCUGUCUGUCUGUUCACCUGUCCAUCUGUGUGUCUGUGUUACCAUCUGAUUACCUGUCUGUCUGUCUUUGUGUCUGUUUGCUCACCUGUCUGUCUGUUCAUCUGUUUGUCCCUGUGUCCUUCAGCUUCAGGUGGCUCCGCCCACACAGACCUGGUUACAAUGGCAGCAGACUCCACAGGUACAGACUCAGGUCAUCCAGCUAUGACAGAUCACACACAGAUGGCUGGUUCAGUCACUGAACAGUACAACCCAUCUGGUCAGGGUCCUGAAGGUUCGUAUCACUCUGACCUCUGUUGGACAAAUUGUUUUUACUGUCCCAUAACAGAUUGUGAUUUUACUCUUCAGCCUGUAGACAAGCAAGUGAUUGAACCUUAACCCUAACCCUUUGGUCAAAUAAUAAAUGAUCUGAAGUUUGUGAUAUGAGUAACUGAAGUGUCUUCAUGGUUUAAACCAUCUUCGAUCCUUUAAGAUGUUUUAACUCCACAGUACUGUGUCAUUGAGACAUGCUGAUGAAGGUUCUCAGUCAUCCAAGUCAAGGUGCUGUACUGCAGUCAACUGGACUUGUUUCAGCUUCUUGAAGACGUUUCACGUCUCAUCCAAGAGGCUUCUUCAGUUCUGACUAACUGGAGGAGCUGCAUGCUUUUAAACUCUGUGUGUGGAGGCCAUGUCCACACAUUCCAAAACUAUCUUGUUUUCCUCCGUCUUCCUCGGAAUCGUUUCAAGAAUAUUUCCGUCCAAACGGAUCCAUUGUAAACGACUCAACACGCUGUAGUUCAUAUUCCAGGCCUAUAGGUGGCGCUUGAAAUUCACCAAAAACAGAGAAGAGGAGCUGGAGCAUGCACAUAAAGCUUGCAGGCUGUAUACAAACAGACAGUAGAAGUAGAAACUGAACACAACAAGAAGAAGAUGAAAAUGGCUAGUCAGUUGUCCAUAAUCCUUUUUCGCUCUGCGUAGUGGCAGAGGAGCAGAAUAUUGUGCCCUAGUAACCCUGAUAGGCUCAAUAUCUUCUGCGGCACGAACACAAGCAUGUAGUCCGCCAUUGUUGUAGUUGUUGUUAUGAGACGGAACAGGGUUAAGAGGUCGAAGGCUAGAGGUCGAGGGGUGGGGCGAUGGCAUCAUCGAUACGCAAAGUAUGCGGAUUCGCUGUCCACACGAGAACGCAAGAGCAGCGUUAUCAGAUUUUUCCACCCUGAGACCAGGUUUCGGAAAAGUGCAUUUACAGGAUCCAUGUGGACAGUCGGCCAAAACGAUGCAAAACAUGUGCGUUUACAUACAAAAGCGUUUCCGUGUGGGUGGCCCCUGAGUUUCAGAGUGGUAAGGUCCACUUAUGGGUUGCUGAGUCUCGCUGAGCCCAGGUGUCAAUUGCUGUUGAGCUGUCUGGGAAGAGAACUCAGUACAGCAUUGUAGGUGGUGAUAAGUGAUGUCUUAGGCCACCUCCUCUGGUCCUCUAAUGACUCUGACACUCAUGACUCACAUAUGUCCAUAACGACUCUGUAAGGACACUCCCACAGAGUUUAAAAGACAGCCUCCUCUUCUCCAGUUAGUUAGAACUGAAGAAGCCUCUUGCAAGAGAGGUGAAAUAUCCAGUUGACUACGAUACAGAACUUAGAUUCAUCGAGAUAUUGAUUUCUGAAUAUUGGAAUGUUAUAAAUAACAGAAGCAUUUCUGUUCAAACAAUUGAACUGAAGGUGUCUCAUUCAUAAAAAAAUCAAUUAUCAAUAAUCAGAUUCUGACUUCUCCAGGUUGAAUAAAUAAUUAAAUGAAAACUGGAUGAAUUACAGAGGCUGCUCUGACGUCUGGCGGUACAACAGUUAAACAAACUUUGCUCUGUUUCACUCUCCUCAUAUUACAGUUAAUAAUCAGACACAAAUACACAAAUGACCUCUUCAUCAUCCUGCAAACUGCCGAGUUUAGAAAAGACAAACAGCUUUAGAAAUACACUGAGUCUUCUUGUCACUCACUUCCAGAACAAAAUUACACGCUGACAAAUCAUUAUUAAAGGAGGUGGUGGUGCUCAUAAUGUUGUUGUCCACAGGGGGUGCCAGAAUCAACAAGAGUUCUUUAUAGCUGUUAAGUAUGAAAAGUAAGAGUUGUUGUGCAGAGUGCCACAUGUAGAGUCACAUCAGUCGGUGUGGACCACUCGUUUUGUCUGUAAAACAUUUAAUAAUGUCCGUCCAACAUUUGUUCGGCCAACAGAACAAAGACAAACACAUUGCAGUUUUUACAGUAACAGAAAUACGAAGUCGCAAAAGUUCAAACUGAACAUCAGAGUUAAAAAAAAUUAAAUGUCUAAAAAAGUCAAAUGUUAAAUCUCGUUGUCUUUCUGCCCCAGGUGCAGAAAAUGUGGAACUGGAGGAUACCUGCUGACUUCCACAUCAAGCCGCGAGUUAGAUUCCUGCGCUACAGAUUCCAGUGUACCGACCAAUCAGUAUGGCCCAGGAAAUCAAACCCCUCCCACUAGCUACUAGCCCCGCCGACUCUGUUGUUUUCAAUAUUUAAGGUUUUUUUUAUAGAAGUUUAUUUUGUUUUAGAGAAUCGCUGUAAGUGGAAAUUAAUAAAAAGAGUCAGCCGAACCUCCACCAACCAUGGCCGAUUCUGUUUUGAUGACAUCAUACAGGAUGUGACAUCAUCGUCACUGUCAGGAUUUUAAAUUUCUACAAUAAAUGUUUGGGUUUUCUUUUUCUAUUUUGAACAUCAAACUGAGGAUUCGUCUUUUGUCUGGACUGAUCAGUUCUUCAUCAACAACCUGAUGAGAUCAUCAUCAUCAGGUUGUUUAUGUCAAUAAGAUUAAAUCAUUUUUAAAAAAAAAUUGUUUUUACUUCAUUUGAUGAGAUAAGCUGCAUUUGAAGAACAUUAAAUAUAAAUCUGCAUGAGAGGUGACUUCUUGAAACAGAACAGAAAGUUUGGUUUUUACCUGAAACACUUUGUGGAAACACUCGUCGUCUCUUCUCAAAUCAUUUUCUAAUAAAUAAAUGUUCAUUCAGUGAUGAACUAUUAUUUAAAAUCCAGACGAAAUAUAAACUCAAUAUAAACAGGUUUCUUUUUAAUUUUCUGGAAUAAUUUUGUUUUUGUUAUCGAUGAACAUCUUAUUUUGUCCUGUUUGAAGAUGUUGAAGAAAACACAACUCACCACUGCGUAUUUCUAAUUUAUUAAUUUUAUUUGUUUUAUUUAAUAUUCAUAAAUGCAGAUUUACAUGUAAAAAGCUUCUCAAACAGAAUUCUGACUCUCGUCAAUUAAAAACUAUUAACAUGUCAUUUUUAUAUAAAAUCUUUAUGUCUUGUGUCUCCUCUGUAAACCAUCGUCACCUACAUGUAUUCCCAUCGUUGUUUGUUACACAGUACAUGUACAAUUAUGUGAGUAGGUUCUUAAACACUUGAACUUAUGUUCUGAAGUCAGAUCUUUGUUUGAACUCCUCGUCUGUCAGCUAGAUGAAACUGAUGAGUAAACACAGUUAACGACAGGCUUUUAUGCUGAAGGGCUUCCUGUUUGGAGGGAAGUGAAGCCGAUGAAUCUGUUCUGAAAAAAAGCUGAGUGGCUAAAAUGGAGGUAAGGAUGUCAAAACAACCGAUGAGUCCACAUAUAUAUAUUGAUCAUCUGUCAAUCAAGUUAAAGGAAGAACUUUGUUUUUCAUGAGAACGACUGCUGCUUUUACACCUUCAGUACAACCACCACAGAAUUAACAUUAUUUCCAUAGUGAGGAGCAGACCGACUGAUUCUGGACCCGGUCACUCACCAAACAUGAACAAUAAGACCAUUUUUAUUUUUGGUCUUUUGAGGUCAAAAUUUUAACGUUCAUUCACAAGCAUUAACUCUGUUUCCGUGGCAACACGUGAGGGUGGGACCAGAAACUGAAACAGUAAUCACAACCCCAUCAGACUCACAUGUAAUGGAGUCGCUGUUCACGGCUCCACAAAACAGGACGAACCUCAGCAACAGGACAUCAACUGGACCUCUCAGCUCAGCUGUUAGCCAGAAAGCUAACGUUAUGCUAGCAGUAAAUAUCAUGUGACAGGAAGUUUAACAACAACACAAGCUGACAGUCAUGUGACCGUCCUCAGAUCAAUAAGAAGAUCACAACAGGUGAUUGUCAAUGUUAUUGUGGCUCAGACUGAAGCAGAGAGCUGAACUGCCAAUCAGAUGCAAGAUCAUGUCAGCUGGUGUGUCACAGUGCCAUCCUGACUAAUAAUCUGAUUGAUCACCUGAUCGACUAUCUGAUUGAUCACCUAAUUGUUGGAUCUUAACGAGAGACAAGCGCAAACACACCGAUGAACAUGUUUAUUGUGGAUCAAUAUUGACUGAAUAGAUCAAAUCAAUGCAUCUCUUUCUGCUUCCAGGUCGUCUCCACGGUAACAGGGGUCACUCAUAAUAAACCUUUCUAAAGAUAGUGAUCAUCUCUUUGUUUUUCUAACGUUACACCUGAACACAAAGACAACCAAUCAACAUGCAGAACCCAGAGAACACCUGCUGACCUCUGAUUGGUUCUCUGAGUGUCAAACAAACAUUUUAAAUAAAGUAGCGAAUAACAACAAACAAAGCUAAAAUAAAGUGGUAGAAGAGGACACGGGUAUAUAAACUGGUUAAUAUUGAUCAAAAAUAAAAACAUGACCUAUUGAUUGAUCUACAGCUGAUCGAUUGAUUUCAUAUUGCUGCUGCUGAGUCAGCGCUCAGACUGUCCUGUUGCUAUGGUGACUGAUU